CCUCGGCCUCUACCUGGCUAAAGUGGCAGAGGGAUUUGUGACAGCUGAAAGGCAGAGAGAAAAGCCAAUCCAAAUAAGAUUGUGCAGGAAGGCAGCCAUUUUCCCAGGCAGGUUAUUGCCUUGAGAAAAUGAUUUGUUCUCCCACAUUCUUUUUUCUCCUUCUUUAGCCUUUUGGAAGGCUCAGCACACAGCAUUCUCCUGUGGUACAGGAAGAGAGACCCUGUCCGCCAUCAGGGACUACCUGAAACUAGAAGGAAAAUAUGACAUAUGUAACAUUUAAACAAACACAAAACCUGCCUUCUUUCCAGCCUUAGGGUUUAUGGGAAGAAGUAAAAACAGUACAACAGUCAGAUACAUGUUUUUUGAUUUCCAUUCUUGGAGCUUUUGCCUAGAGGGGAGAUGGUUUAAAUAAAAUAAGCAAGGAAUCUCUUCCUCUACUCAUUUGGGAUGCUGGCAGGAAGUAAGUUGCAGACUGUCUUCUAGCAAUGCAUUUUUAGGGGGUCAGACAAGUGAAGGUCCUUGUAUUUAGUGUCCUCACUCUGUCCUUGUUUCUGAAUGGGCAUAGGCAUGACCCAGAAGUCAUGUGAAAAGUCGACCUGGGAAUCCAUCCAAUGCGGGUUGCCACAAAAGAGGCAUACACAGUGACUGUCACUUAGGGCUCCGGAAUAGUCUAUUCAAGCUGGGAGUGAAUAGAUGGCACAAGCCAACACCAGAUGCUCCAAUAGUGACAGGGAAGCCUAGAUGGUCCUGAGCCAGCAGGGGGGCCACCGAGCAUUCACUGAUCACGCCAAGAGUGGCUAAACCAAAAGUCACCUCAGCUUCAUAUUUCAACUUUCAUUAUCAAUGCAGAGAAGACAGGAGUCACCUCCCCUGAGGGAUCGACACUAUUCUGCUGCCAUGCAUGUGUGUAAGCGCUCUACACCUUCCACAGUCAGAGUGGACUCAGGGAGACAAGGCUGGAAAUGUAGUUCAAGCUGGCUUGUGCAAACAGAAACAAAAAGCUACGCUUGGACUCCAUGGGCUUCAAACCCAGACUAGAUGACUCUACAUGGUGAUCUCCAGCACUUCCAGGUCAAUAUUCUGCCAGCUUCAAGACCAGUGCAAAAAAAAAAAAAAAGGAGUUUUAUGCUAACAACUCAAAAGUAUGUGCCAGAAUUGAGUUUUGUUGGCAUGCCUGAGAUCCACUUGUCUACCUCUGAGACAAUUGCUCUGGCCAGUGGGAUGGAAUGGCCUCCUUGGCUAGGCUUAAGUCAAGUGUCUACUCCUAGAGGCAAGAAGUCAAGGCAGCUUCAUCUGAAUCACAUGGAUUAAAAGUAGGAAGGGAUGGUUUCCUCCCCCCUACAUGCACACACACACACACACACACACACACACACACACAAGUUCAGGAUGAUGUCAUCAGAAAAGGAGACUGGCUACUGAGCAACAAAACCUUACAAAUGUCCAUCAUUCACUUUCAUCACCAGUCUUCUGUCCAUAUCUCACUCUCUGUGAUUCUGAAAGAUUUCCCCCAGAAGAUUCCCCUUGAAAAGUUUCCCAAAGAAUGUUCUUCACAAAAGGUUCCCAUCAGACGUUCCCUUAGAAGGUUUACCUCAGAAGUUUCCCCUCAAAAAUUUUCCCAAAAUGUUUCCCUCAGAUGUUUCCCUACAGAAGUUUUCCCUCAAAAGAUUUCCCUAGACGAUUCCCUCAGAAGUUUCCCUUAGAAGGUUCACCUCAAGAGAUUUCCCCAGAAGGUUCCCCUCGAAGAUUUCCCCAGAAGGUUCUUCUCAAAGAUUUCCCAGAAGGUUCCUCUCAAAGAUUUCCCCAGAAGGUUUCCUACAGAAGGUUCUUCACAGGAGGUUACCUGGUGAAGGCUCCUUUCAUAAGGAUAACUUAUCCCCUUGAUAAGUUUCCUUGGAAGUUUCCCCUGAGAACAUUUCUCACAGAAGGAACCCUCAGAAGGUUCCCCUCAGGGGUUGCAUGAUUGUAGCUGGUACUUCUUUCAGUAGCAGGCAGCUUACAGUUUAAUUUGGCAGGUGUGUAGCCUUAACUUCCCAUAUUCUUGACUGAAGAUGAUCUUCCCCUCUCUGGAAAAGACCUCCUCCUCCCAGACUGAACAUUUCCAGUCUGGGAGUGGUAAAAAUAGAGUGGUGAGAUCCAGGGGAGCACCGUUAGGCCAUCCAGUCCAGCAGAAUCAACUAUAGGUUGCCCACACGUGACAGAUGCCAGUCAGAUCCUCCUUACCUUAUGCUUUCUGGCCUCUUAAUCUGGAGCUCGACUCCCUGGUGGGCGUAUUUAUUUUACCUUUUUUUAGAUGAAGAAAAAUCUUGAUGACAUAGAAAGCCAACCAAUGUUGAAUGAAUAAAGAAAUAUUGGCAUGAAAGAAGCAAAUUGUGGGCUGACUCAAUCUGCCUUCUCUCUGUUAACAUUAUAAUGUCUACCUCGGCAGUGAAGACAGUCGUUGGCUUGGUUGCUAGAAACAGCUCUAAAAGACGUCUUUGUAAUGCUUUUUACCUUAUAAAAAGCUCAGCUCAUUUUGGGGCAAGGCUUCCUGCAGCUCUUAUGGACUUGAAUGUGGACUAUAGAAUGAGCACUGACUACAUCAGAAAUGACCAGGCCUAAGAGCAUCAGUGGACUGACCCUAGUCACCACAUCCCUCAAAGACUCAGUGCCCUCAUUUAUCAUACACACAGAUUAGACCAAAAGGUCCUGAGGCCCUCUAAUCUUUGAGCUUUUCAGAGAAAUCAUUGUAAAUAUGCCCUCGUGACUUGAGUGCCUCUCCAUGUUCUCCUUGACUAUCCCAUCAGAAUCCCACUUUUUAAGAGGUGAGCGAGAAAGAAGCAUCCCUGACAUCUAUCAGCUGGUAGCUGACCUGGAGCUGCUAAGCCAUGUUCAUUACUUACACAGUUUCGCUAACACCACAAUCAGAUGAGUGGGCUCAGAGAACCCAAUGCACCAAGCCCAAAACAGGACCCACGGCAACCAUGGCUGAGCACAGAUGGCUGAGCACACCGAGCAAAUCACAAAAAGACCAAGUGUCCUCCUCUUCUAGCUAACAUGGCGUCUACCACUUCUUCAUCAACUGGAGCAUUAGCCUUCAUCUCUUCUUCCUCCCUCCUAGAUAAAAAUUAUUAAAAUAUCCAAUCAUAGAAUUUGUCUCACUUCCUGACAGUACACUUUCCAGAGCAAAUUCCUGCUUCCUUAAACCCUAAAAUCACCUAACACAAGCCCAGAUUUUAUCGGGAAACCGCCCCCCACCACCCGUGUUCCCUAUAGUGUUGUUAUAUAAACCCAACUUUGUUUGACUAUAGGUGUGUUCCUGGUGGUCUUUCGUUGGUGGGUUUGACAGAGGUUUCCGGACCUCUUAUGUCAUCUUCCAUUUUGUCUUCGUGGUAUCACAGCCUCCUUUCUUUGGGAUCUCACUUUCAGAAGGCCAGGGUAGGUGUCUGACAAGACCCAGCUUUCUCCUUCUUGGCUCAUGAACUGCAGAGUGACUGGUCCAUUUGCCAACAGGCCUCAUGUCCCUCGCUCAUCGUUAGCUACCUUUUCUUUCUUGAGCAGAAUCUGUCAGAGUGAUUUCUCUCCUUAAUUUUGCCAUCUUUUAGCUCUAGCUUCAACAGAGGACCAUCUGGGAUGUUUUAAUAAAUAGCUGUGCCCAGAUUUCCCGCUCAGAAUUUCUGAUUUGAGUGGGCUUGGUGGGGGCAGUUAUCCCUAUUUUUCUUUAAAGCUUGCCAAAUGAUUCUAACAUGAACCACUGUUCCAGAUCACCGUUAUAAGGAGUAGAAUUGUCAGAACAUUAGAUCUUUGCUUUCAGUUGAUGACGUCAGGAAUUGCCUCCCAUUCCCUUCUCUGACAUUUGCAGCCUCCCAGCCCUGAGCCAAGAUCCUCUGUGCGUGUGUGGUCCCAGACCUCUCAUCCCUGAGGCAACUUGUCUUUCUGCCUUCCCAAUGGCUACCUUGGGGUCGGGCACCUUUCCCCUAUAU